AGGAUAAACGCUGGCGGCGUGCCUAACACAUGCAAGUCGAACGCGCUUUCGGGCUUCGGUGCGAGAGCGAGUGGCGGACGGGUGAGUAACACAUGGGUACCUACCUUGGAGUGAGGGAUACCGGCGAGAAAUCGCCGACAAUACCGCAUAGGCUUCUUCACAAGGGAAGCAAAGUGACGCGAGUCACGCUGUGAGAUGGGCCUGUGGCCGAUUAGCUAGUUGGGGGGGUAACGGCUUCCCAAGGCGACGAUCGGUAGCUGGUCUGAGAGGACGAUCAGCCACACUGGGAUUGAGAACGGCCCAGACUCCUACGGGGGGCAGCAGUGAGGAAUUUUCCGCAAUGGAGGCAACUCUGACGGAGCAACGCCGCGUGCAGGAGGAAGGUUUUCGGAUCGUAAACUGCUUUUCUCGGGGACGAGCAAGGACGGUACCCGAGGAAGAAGCCCGGCUAACUACGUGCCAGCAGCCGC
rnacentral:rRNA from 1 species